rnacentral:rRNA from 1 species
ACGAACGCUGGCGGCGUGCCUAAUACAUGCAAGUCGAGCGAAGUUUUUCUGGUGCUUGCACUAGAAAAACUUAGCGGCGAACGGGUGAGUAACACGUAAAGAACCUGCCUCAUAGACUGGGACAACUAUUGGAAACGAUAGCUAAUACCGGAUAACAGUAUUUCUCGCAUGAGAGAUAUUUAAAAGUUGGUUAUGCUAACACUAUGAGAUGGCUUUGCGGUGCAUUAGCUAGUUGGCGGGGUAAAGGCCCACCAAGGCGACGAUGCAUAGCCGACCUGAGAGGGUGAUCGGCCACACUGGGACUGAGACACGGCCCAGACUCCUACGGGAGGCAGCAGUAGGGAAUCUUCCGCAAUGGGCGAAAGCCUGACGGAGCAACGCCGCGUGAGUGAAGAAGGAUUUCGGUUCGUAAAGCUCUGUUGUUAGGGAAGAAUGGAUAUGUAGUAACUAUACAUGUAAGAGACGGUACCUAACCAGAAAGCCACGGCUAACUACGUG